ACUGGGAGGUCGCGGUUCUUUUGAAGAUUCCGAUGAUAAUAAUGUUGCGGUAGUGGUAAUAGUAAAAUUGCGGUAAUGAGAGGUCAUGGCCCUUUUGAAGCUUUGCGAUGGUAACAAUGAACUCACACUAGGGAUAGCGAAAUCAGAUUAUACAAGACUGUAUGUGGAUGAGAUAAUGCAGGGAAUUUUUUGAAUGAUAACCCGACUUCCGAUAAGUCAAAGGUGGCGAUGAUUGUCAUCACAUUCGAGAGAGGAUCAUGGUUGGACCUAUGGAUGUUGAGGUCAAGCAAAGAAAAACUGCUAAUCAGAGAAAACAGACUAGGAAACCAACAACAACGAACGCC